ensembl:snRNA U6 U6 spliceosomal RNA
GUGCUCGAGUUGGCAGAACAUAUACUAAAAUUGGAUCAAUGCAAAGAUAAGCCUGGCCCCUGGGCAAGGAUGGCAUACAAAUUUAAGAAGCGUUUCAUAUUUAA